rnacentral:rRNA from 1 species
UACGUAGGGCGCAAGCGUUUGUCCGGAAUUAUUGGGCGUAAAGAGCUCGUAGGCGGCUUGUCACGUCGAUUGUGAAAGCCCGAGGCUUAACCUCGGGUCUGCAGUCGAUACGGGCUAGCUAGAGUGUGGUAGGGGAGAUCGGAAUUCCUGGUGUAGCGGUGAAAUGCGCAGAUAUCAGGAGGAACACCGGUGGCGAAGGCGGCUUUCUGGGCCUUACCUGACGCUGAGGAGCGAAAGCUGGGGGAGCGAACAGG